rnacentral:rRNA from 1 species
CUUAACACAUGCAAGUCGAGGGGCAGCACAGGUAUCUAUACCGGGUGGCGACCGGCGCACGGGUGAGUAACGCGUAUGCAACUUGCCUAUCAGAGGGGGAUAACCCGGCGAAAGUCGGACUAAUACCGCAUGAAGCAGGGGCCCCGCAUGGGGAUAUUUGCUAAAGAUUCAUCGCUGAUAGAUAGGCAUGCGUUCCAUUAGGCAGUUGGCGGGGUAACGGCCCACCAAACCGACGAUGGAUAGGGGUUCUGAGAGGAAGGUCCCCCACAUUGGUACUGAGACACGAACCAAACUCCUACGGGAGGCAGCAGUGAGGAAUAUUGGUCAAUGGCCGAGAGGCUGAACCAGCCAAGUCGCGUGAGGGAUGAAGGUUCUAUGGAUCGUAAACCUCUUUUAUAAGGGAAUAAAGUGCGGGACGUGUCCCGUUUUGUAUGUACCUUAUGAAUAAGGAUCGGCUAACUCCGUGCCAGCAGCCGCGGUAAUACGGAGGAUCCGAGCGUUAUCCGGGUUUAUUGGGUUUAAAGGGUGCGUAGGCGGCCUUUUAAGUCAGCGGUGAAAGUCUGUGGCUCAACCAUAGAAUUGCCGUUGAAACUGGGGGGCUUGAGUAUGUUUGAGGCAGGCGGAAUGCGUGGUGUAGCGGUGAAAUGCAUAGAUAUCACGCAGAACCCUGAUUGCAAAGGCAGCCUGCCAAGCCAUUACUGACGCUGAUGCACGAAAGCGUGGGGAUCAAACAGGAUUAGAUACCCUGGUAGUCCACGCAGUAAACGAUGAUCACUAGCUGUUUGCGAUACACUGUAAGCGGCACAGCGAAAGCGUUAAGUGAUCCACCUGGGGAGUACGCCGGCAACGGUGAAACUCAAAGGAAUUGACGGGGGCCCGCACAAGCGGAGGAACAUGUGGUUUAAUUUGAUGAUACGCGAGGAACCUUACCCGGGUUUGAACGCAUUCGGACCGAGGUGGAAACACCUUUUCUAGCAAUAGCCGUUUGCGAGGUGCUGCAUGGUUGUCGUCAGCUCGUGCCGUGAGGUGUCGGCUUAAGUGCCAUAACGAGCGCAACCCUUGCCACUAGUUACUAACAGGUUAGGCUGAGGACUCUGGUGGGACUGCCAGCGUAAGCUGCGAGGAAGGCGGGGAUGACGUCAAAUCAGCACGGCCCUUACAUCCGGGGCGACACACGUGUUACAAUGGCGUGGACAAAGGGAUGCCACCUGGCGACAGGGAGCGAAUCCCCAAACCACGUCUCAGUUCGGAUCGGAGUCUGCAACCCGACUCCGUGAAGCUGGAUUCGCUAGUAAUCGCGCAUCAGCCAUGGCGCGGUGAAUACGUUCCCGGGCCUUGUACACACCGCCCGUCAAGCCAUGGGAGCCGGGGGUACCUGAAGUCCGUAACCGAAAGGAUCGGCCUAGGGUAAAACUGGUGACUGGGGCUAAAU